rnacentral:rRNA from 1 species
GACGAACGCUGGCGGCGUGCUUAACACAUGCAAGUCGAACGGAAAGGCCCUGCUUUUGUGGGGUGCUCGAGUGGCGAACGGGUGAGUAACACGUGAGUAACCUGCCCUUGACUUUGGGAUAACUUCAGGAAACUGGGGCUAAUACCGGAUAGGAGCUCCUGCUGCACGGUGGGGGUUGGAAAGUUUCGGCGGUUGGGGAUGGACUCGCGGCUUAUCAGCUUGUUGGCUGGGUAGUGGGUUACCAAGGCUUUGACGGGUAGCCGGCCUGAGAGGGUGACCGGCGACAUUGGGACUGAGAUACGGCCCAGACUACUACCGGAGGCAAUAGUGGGGAAUAUUGCACAAUGGGCGGAGGCGAGAUGCAGCAACGCCGCGUGCGGGAUGACGGCCUUCGGGGUGUAAACCGCUUUCGCCUGUGACGAAGCGUGAGUGACGGUAAUGGGUAAAGAAGCACCGGCUAACUACGUG